rnacentral:rRNA from 1 species
CCCUUAGAUGUUCUGGGCUGCACGCGCGCUACACUGAUACUUUCAGCGAGUCCACCACCUUGCCUGGGAGGGUGGGGUAACCUCUGGAAAGUGCAUCGUGAUGGGGAUCGAUUAUUGUAAUUAUUAAUCUUCAACGAGGAAUUCCUAGUAAGCAUAAGUCAUCAACUUGUGCUGAUUACGUCCCUGCCCUUUGUACACACCGCCCGUCGCUCCUACCGAUUGGAUGGUCCGGUGAACUUUUUGGACUUGUAGCAAUGUUAUGAGAAAGUUAAGUAAACCUUAUCAUUUAGAGGAAGGAAAUGUCGUAACA